rnacentral:rRNA from 1 species
AACGAACGCUGGCGGCAGGCUUAACACAUGCAAGUCGAACGGUUGUAGCAAUACAGCAGUGGCGCACGGGUGAGUAACGCGUGGAUAUCUGCCUUUUGGUUCGGAAUAACUCCGGGAAACUGGAGCCAAUACCGGAUGGUUCCUACGGGAUAAAGAUUUAUCGCCAAAAGAUGAGUCCGCGUACGAUUAGCUAGUUGGUGGGGUAAUGGCCCACCAAGGCGGCGAUCGUUAGCUGGUCUGAGAGGACGAUCAGCCACACUGGGACUGAGACACGGCCCAGACUCCUACGGGAGGCAGCAGUGGGGAAUAUUGGACAAUGGGGGCAACCCUGAUCCAGCCAUGUCGCGUGAGUGAUGAAGGCCUUCGGGUUGUAAAGCUCUUUUGGCGGGGACGAUGAUGACGGUACCCGCAGAACAAGCCCCGGCUAACUUCGUGCCAGCCGCCGCGGUAAUAC